rnacentral:rRNA from 1 species
ACUGCUCUAUGGUUCUCUAAAUGGCCGCGGUACCCUGACCGUGCUAAGGUAGCAUAAUCACUUGUUCCUUAAAUGGGAGCUAGCAUGAAAGUGCUGACGAAGGGUAACUGACUCAGCCUCGGCCCUGGAAUCUAUUCCCAAGGUUAAAAUACCUUGAUACUCUGGGAGGACGACAAGACCCUAUAAAACUUUACUACCUUCCAUUAUAAUUCUUAAGAUAAAAGUUUAAGUGCCCGUAGUUAAGCUGGGGCGGCUAACCCCCUCCGGGGGGUAAUCUAACACCUUGAGUGAUCCCUCGCACCCCCCUUAGUAGUAAGAUCAAGUUACUUUAGGGAUAACAGCGCAAUUGCUCCGUAGAGCCCCCAUCGAUGGAGCCGUUUGCGACCUCGAUGUUGAAUUGGGGACCCGCCCGGAGCAGCCUCCGGGCAUUGGGAGUCUGUUCGACUUAUAACCCCCCACAUGAUCUGAGC